GACAGAGGGUGCAAACGUUGCUCGGAAUUACUGGGCGUAAAGCGCACGUAGGCGGACUCUUAAGUCGGUGGUGAAAUCCUGGAGCUCAACUCCAGAACUGCCUUCGAUACUGAGAGUCUUGAGUCCGGGGAGAGGUGAGUGGAACUGCGAGUGUAGAGGUGAAAUUCGUAGAUAUUCGCAAGAACACCAGUGGCGAAGGCGGCUCACUGGCCCGGUACUGACGCUGAGGUGCGAAAGCGUGGGGAGCAAACAGGG
rnacentral:rRNA from 1 species